CCAUUAUUUAUAUUUUUAUUGUUUAAUCAUUAUAAUAAUCCAUAUUAAUUUUUUCUUUUUCUUCCUCUGAAUAGAUCAAUGGAAAGAAGAAGUUGAAUGGAGCCCAGCCUCCAGAGGUUUUCCUCAGAGCUUUUGAAGCUGCAGCAAAUUAAUAGUUUACAUUAUAUAAGCUGGAAGAGGCAACAAUAAAUCAAGAGUUCAACUUUCCCUCAUGCAUUUGUGUAAUGUUUUAUUAUUUUUAAUUAUUUUUCUUGUGUAAUAUUGGAACAUAACUGUCAUAUGCAUUUUUCCUGCAGUGGAUAUGUUCAAAUUGGAAUGGUUUGAGGAUUUGUGUGGAAAUUUAAAAAUAUAUUUCUUCUUUCAAUAUAACUUUCUGAUCUUCACUAUUUAUCUUCACUACCUAACACCCCGUUUAUGGGCUUUAUCUCGUACACCAAACUAAUAAAAUAAACUUUUAACAAGAAUAUUUUUUUACAAUCACUAAGAAAAAAAAUAAUAAAACAAAAAUAAUAAUUAAAAAAAUCUUUAAUUGGCGUGUUCUAUGAAAUCACUUAUAUUAUACACCUAUCGACAAAUCUUAUCAUAUCGACAUAUCAAUAUUAUCUAUUAGUUACAAAUUUUAAUUGUCAUUUACGCUCUAUUUUGUAUAAAUGAAGUCAAAAUGUUAAAUUCAUUGUAUAUGAUUUUUUCAUGUUUAGAAUAAAUUAAAAAAUGAAAAUUUAUUUAUUUUUAUUUCUAAAAUACUCUAGCCAUAAUAAUGUUAGAAGGCUAGGAGGAUGAAAAGUUUUGGUUAUAAAAUAUUAGGUUGAUUAAUUUUAUGGAAUUCAUUUAGAAAUUUUACAUUUUUCUUGUAAAAUUUUAUAAAUUUUAAUUUAGUUAUAUUCAAAUACAUAGAAUUGAAUUCGUAUAAUUAAUUCUUCAUUCUUUUUCAUACCAAACACAAAAAUUUAAAUUUAUAAUUAAAUUCUAACAAGUUUUUUAGAAUUCAUUUAUUCCAAACAAGACUUAUAAGUCCAAUUAUAUACAAAUCAACCGCAAAUAUAUUCAAAUCCAAUUAAUACAAACUUAGACUACAAUCAAAUACGGAUAUGUAGGAACUAUUAGAAAAAUCUUUGAAUUAAUAAUAUAUAUUUGAUCUACUACUUUGUAGCAUAAACAGAAAUAUAAUAUCUUAAUUUUGAGAAGAUAUUAUCUCUAAUAAAACUUCAAAAUAAUCGUUGUCUUCAAACUAAAUUAUGGGCUUAUUUUAAAUCAUUAAAAAAAAUUUAAAACUUUACAGGUAAUUUUAAUUAUACGUUAAAUUCAAUUUUCUUCUCUUACUAUUCUGAACUUCAAUUUUAAUUAUAAUAGCACCCUAAUUUUAAAUUGUAUCUAAUUUAAUGAGUAAAAUAAACAUGAAUUUUUAAUUAUGGUUUAUUGAAAUUAUAAUUAAGCUAGAUCUCUUAUACAAAUAAGUUUUAUUCAUUACAGCAUAAUUUUAUUUUUAGGGAAUCAUUACUUGUUAAUAUUAUACAAAUAAAACAAAAAAAAAAAGUAGUUUUUAGGUGAAUAUAUUAUUUUUUAUUUUAAUAUUGGGUACAAAAUAAUAUUUCUUUGAAGGCAAUUGAAAAUAAUAUUUAUUCACUAAAUUGGAUAUAAUUUGAAAUUAUGGUGCUAUUGUAACUAAAAUUGAAAUUUAGAAUACUAGAAGUAGAAAAUUAGAUUUAAAGUAAUUAAAAUUACCUAUAAAAUUUGAAGUUUUUUUAAUGAUUUAGCCCUUAAAAUACUUGGACUUUGAUUUUGUAACAUUAAAAGUGAAUUUGACCACAAUCCGGUGAUGAAAGACACCGGAAAACUGAUGUGGCAAGCAUCAUUUAAAAAAAUAAUUUUUUAUUUCACGUCAUCCUGCUCAAAGUUUUUUGUGUUCAUUUUUUCUAUUUUGUAAGACCUCCAUCUCUCUUCUUCCAAUCGAGGCUUUUCGAUCUUCAUCUCCGUAUAUAAACCCAUAGAUCAAUAAUCAAUUCAUCAAACAACCCAAAAUCAAAACAAACCUCUUUUCAAUUUCCUUCUAUUUAUGAAUUUAAACGACACAAACCCAAGUUUUACAAUUCUCAAUAUGCUAUCAAAAUUAAAAUUAAAAUCAUAUCCAGUAAAUAUUCUUUGCAAAAACACCUUAGAAUUCAAACAAAACGUAGAAAUAAUAAUAUUCAGGUUUCUAAAUUACAUACCUGAAAUUCUCUUUCUCUCUGUACUAGCUCAGAUCCUUAACAUUUAUUUUUUAAUCGAAAUUCCUGCUUGACCACUGUGAAGGGGAUGAGAGAAAAAAAAAAAAAAAACACCUUUUUAAUUGAAUAAAAUGAUCUCUUGUUCAAACCGAAACUUUAUAACAUCGGCAAAUGGUACUUUUUUUUGUACAGCUAACUUAAGCAAACUGGAAUUUUCUCUCACAAAAAAGAAGUCUUUUAUAGGUGAAAAGCAAUUCAUGGAUGGUUAUUAAGGCUUGUGGAGAGUGCAAAUGGCUUGUUGUUUGUUGGUUAUUUAUAAAAUAAGAAAAUAAGGGAGAGAGCAAAGAUCGAAAGAAGAAAAGAAAAAUAGCCAUUGAAGAGAAAAAUGAGAUAUGGAAGAUCAUUUAGAAGAAAGAGAAAAUGGGCACAAGUUCCAUCUCCCGAGACUUUGACGCCGAAUAAAAAUUUAUCUUUUUUAGAUCAUU
rnacentral:lncRNA from 1 species